UAAAAAUAAGUGUUUAUGCGGACAUUGUUAGUUGCACAUCACCUGGCAAUGGAUAAUUUCUUACCCAACGUAGAUACUCUGCAGUAGGGGGUUUAUGUGUGUGUUAAGACCAAGACUUACUCGCCAAAACUACGAAAUAUAAUUUUCUUGUUGUAGUAACCUGUCGAAGUCUAUAUGGGAGGUAGCGAUCCUCGUCAAGCUACUAUAGGUGAAUAUACUCGUUCCGGUCCAUAAACCGAUCGCCGCGGGAACUUUAUGGCCAUUGGUUAUUUAGAGGCGCCAAUAAUUCGCCUUGUCAUAUCGAGCAUCAUAGGCACUCAACAUAUAAGUGAGAGCUGGUUCCAUCAGGCCUCACUGAGACUCUCCACCCGACACAACAUGUGGAAACGGUAGCUCUCAGUUUAGCUUUUCAUGAUAACGAUGAGCCCCACACAGAAAGGAGCUCAUAGUUUCAGACUGUGUGGUGCUCACAUUAGUGAACGCAAUUGCCAGAAGGAAAUAUGUAGUGCACAUUGCAUUCGUUUUGUUAGAUUGAACUAUAAAACUUAGAGGGGGAGAACAAUCGAUAGUCGGCGCUAUCGAUAGUCGACGAUAGUUAUUUUACAACCAUCGAUAGUUGGCAAUAGUAAUGUCGAUAGUCGGGCGAUAGUCCCGUCCGCAAUAAAAUAUGUGAAUAAAAUAAUGUUCACAUUUUCUUUCUUGAACCUGGUUCGCCUCUCCGAAACAAUUUGCCCCCCCUUGCUAAAUACUCCUUCGGACUCGACGGAUGCUGCGGGGAUGCACAAGUAUUUUAAAAUCAGCCUUUUGAGCAAGGGACAAUCCGUUUGGUUCACCUGAAAUAUAAUUCAAUAAAAAUAUAUGUUUCUUCAGUAUUGA